GUAGUGGACCAAUGUCUGAAUGACCAUCUGAAGAAAGGGGAGAAGAGAAAAAAAAAAUUCAGUUGACUGUCGGUUGGAAUCUUCUGGAGCAGCCGCUGGAUGACAAACAGUUGCCAGUUCUGCAAAGAGACGAAAUGAGCAGAGUCUCAUACAAAUCCUCAAAAAAAAACAACCAAGCGCUUCCUUGCGAGAAGGCCUCACGUUGACGUCAUGGUGGGGGCCAACUUGGAUUUCUGGAGGGAAACAAGAGCGAAGGUGAUGUCCAACCACUUCUGAGGGCCUCAAAGUGGACAAGCCUGAACACAAACAGGAGGUGCAGCGUCUUGGUGACCAGGGUGCGGAGUCCACGAUGGCACCAACUGGAAGCUUCUCUGCACAGUCAAAAUGGGAAAAAAAAAAAACAAA